rnacentral:rRNA from 1 species
UACGGGGGGUGCAAGCGUUGUUCGGAAUCAUUGGGCGUAAAGAGCGUGUAGGCGGCUCGGCAAGUCAGAUGUGAAAUCCCUGAGCUUAACUCAGGAAGUGCAUUUGAAACUGCUUGGCUAGAGUAGGGAAGAGGGAAGUGGAAUUCCUGGUGUAGAGGUGAAAUUCGUAGAUAUCAGGAGGAACACCGGUGGCGAAGGCGACUUCCUGGUCCUAUACUGACGCUGAGACGCGAGAGCGUGGGGAGCAAACAGG